rnacentral:misc_RNA from 1 species
GAUGAAGAACGUAGCGAAAUGCGAUAAGUAAUGUGAUUUGCAGAAUUCAGUGAAUCAUCGAAUCUUUGAACGCACAUUGCGCCCGCCAGUAUUCUGGCGGGCAUGCCUGUUCGAGCGUCAUUACAACCCUCAGGCCCCCGGGCCUGGCGUUGGGGAUCGGCGGAGCCCCCCGUGGGCACACGCCGUCCCCCAAAUACAGUGGCGGUCCCGCCGCAGCUUCCAUCGCGUAGUAGCUAACACCUCGCGACUGGAGAGCGGCGCGGCCACGCCGUAAAACACCCAACUCUUCUGAAGUUGACCUCGAAUCAGGUAGGAAUACCCGCUGAACUUAAGCAUAUCAAUAAGCGGAGGA